UCCUGCUGCGGGUCUCGCACCAGGCAGACGGCAGAGCUCUUCAUGCUGACACCUGGAGGGGCUGGGAGGGCUGGAUGAGUGGGAGUUACUGCCGCAUUGAGCCGAUACCGGUAGAUCCAGUGGGUUAGUUUUGCUGUCUGCGCCCAGGGAUGUGUUUUAUGUUGCAUGUUAAGAAUGAGGACACUGGGAGGAGGAGAGGUGUCUGCAAUCAAAUAAUAUCACCUAUCAGGCAGAGGAGUGCGGUGUGGGUUUCCUCCUGCCGGCUUGUCCCCAUGGAGUCUCUGGCCCUUGGGUUCUGCAGCGUUCUGCAAAACUGAUGUGUGGAGAUCCAAUGCCUGAGAGUCUGCUUCGUGAAACCUUGGUUCUGAACUUUGGAGCAAACACCUGAUGUCCAGAUGAAAGAUUUUUGGAAGUUCUCCUCCACUCCGCUUGCAGCUAGCAUUCUCCCCCUGGUUCCAUGCGUUCCCUCACUUGCCAAGGAGCUGCAUGUGACGGUAUAUGAGCAAUCCUCCUGGUGACAUCCAAUCUCCCCUGCUGUGUUCCAGACUCAGGAUCCUGCAAUAAUUUAGCAUCUUUGUUUCUAAACUUAGCUUAGGAAGUAUUAAACUGUUGUUAGCAUGAAGACAGCCAGCUCCAGGAAAGACUUCUUUUUUUUUUCCCCCAGGGGCUCUUAUGUUUCUUACUGUGUAGCUUUUCCUUGUUGCUUCUUUUAACAAGCUUUUGACUUUGCAUUGAGGCAGGAGAGUAUAUGCUUACUGGAUACAUGAGACUUACAAAACACAUAUAGAGAAAAUUCUCACCUCCCGUCUCCUCUCCUGGGGCUAAUGGCUGGUAAACCAGGAGAUACCUCCAUGGUGAAGAGAGUUGUGGUAGGUUCAUCCGUUCAGAUGUUGUCCUACAAUGAACCCUAGUCCUUCCCUCUUACAGUCUUCCCUUGGAGUUAGUCCUAGGUUAGUCCCCUAUUUUUGUAGGUGGUAGCCAUUCUGAUUCCACCUGUUGGAAAUCCCCAACAAGAAAGGAUUCUUCUUGUGCUAUAGCCACUUUUCCAUAUAUUCACCUAUUGUGUCCUCCUUUUCCUCCUUCUUCCACACCCACAGUCUCUGCCUCUGAAACCUUCUGACCUGAGAGGGACCUGAAGGAGAAGAGUUGUGACAAGGUACCCACACUGGGAAACUGCUAAGAGGUUGUAUCUGCCAUGGUUUUGAAGUCAGGACAGAAGUGCUUUUGUCUUGGUGAGAAGAGUUUGUAAAAGCUAAAAUCAGCCCCAUUUAUGGAGGUUCUCUUCCCCUGGGUAGAACUUGGACCCAAGCUUCCUUGGGAUUUCAAACUGCAUGAAACAAAUCUCUGGAGAAGCCAGUGGUGGGUGAGAAAAGGUCUGAUGUGAGGCAGAAAGAAAAGGAAGUCUACAUAAUUAGAUUUAAUAAUAAAUAAAUAAGGUACCAAACAGACCUGAAGCAGCAGCUGAGACUUUGGAGAAACUUGUCACAUGUAUUGUCAUUUUUUUUUCUCCUGAGGGGGAAAAGAAAGAAAGUGAAAAAAAAUCAAGGGAAGCAAAACAUUUCCUUUGCUUUGCAUAUUACAAAAGGCGCCAAAUGUGGAAAAGAAGAAGAGCAAGUAGGCUGAUAAGAGUUUUCAUUUCAUCCCCCUCAGGGUGCCGACUUACCAGUGGUAACCUCGUGGUCUGCUGAUGUCAUUCACACAAAGCAGUUACUUCUGAAGAGACAGGUUUCCUCAGAUUUUACCAUCUGAGGAAAAAAUAGAGGAAAAAAUUGUUUGAAAGGGAAAAAAAUGUUAAGGUGUCUGUGUUUUACCAAAAGCCUUUGUAGGAGGUUAUUAACUUCAAAAGAAAACUAAAUUUAUCGUAACUUCUCUCCCUCCCUGUGUUUCUGAAAAGAGUCCUUGCUGUGAUUGUCUGAGCCAUUAAGUGCUCCUGGAAGGGUGACCAAGUCCUGUGCUCCCAUGUCUGUGUGCUUACUGAUUUAUAAACCUCUCUGUAGGCAGAAAGAAGAAGGGGAAAUUUCCCCUUUGGUGGCAGAUGGGCUCCAAAGGCUAAAAUACAAUUAUUAUGCAGACUCUCAACAUGUAAAAAAUGGUAGAAAAAAGUCCACCUUUAAGGUCCGAAUGAGGGAAAGUUUUUUCUCAAGCUCUCAAGGGAGCAGAGACUUCAUCACCCCAAACUUUUUCUUCUUUUUGAACAAUGAUUUCUGAAAGAAAGACAAGGUUUAAAAGUAGCUUCCAGAGAUGAGCUAUGGGUGCCACCUGUUCAUUUUGAAUGUUAGCCCAGGAUCCACACAAACCUGCUGCACUCGCCAGGUACCUGUUGGACAAUUUGAAGAAAAGCUUUUUAAAGUGUCUGCACUGUGGGACUGGCAGAGGAGAGAUUCAUGUUUUCUUUUGCAUUGCACUACUACCCAUGCUCCGAAGGAGGCAGGAAGGUGACUGGACUGCUCACACCAUUGCUGAUGCAAGAGAGUUAAUCUGGCAUGAAGCAGAAGGUGGAAGAUUUUAUAAAAGCUCCUGCCAUGUGGUGGUGGUUUCUGGUGCUCAAAUACACAUUUUCUACAAGUGUGACACGUGCUGGCAUUGUCUUCAAGAAAACCUUCUCCUCCCAAUGCCCUGAUCAGAUCUCCCUGCUGCUCUGGUCCGUAUGAACUUGAUCUUUAUGUUCCCUGUCAAUGCCACAGUUUGGCAAAGCUCACCUCUUCAUGUUCUAGUCCUUCUCUCCUUGCAGCAGGUAGACUUGUAUUUGGUGGCUAGUGAUCUUUUCAGGAGAUACAGUUUUGGGAUUAGCCAGUCAGUGCUGAGCAGUGCUGAUGGAAAGAGUGCUAGGUUCACUGUUGGCAGGGAGACAGGUUGUUCUGCACACACUGUUCAGACUCAGCUGGAUGCUGUCGGCAAGGCUGGGUUUGGUGCUGUAGAGCCUCGCGGUAUGAGGUGAAGCUUCAGGCAGUUUCAGCGUGAAUGAACACUCAGCUGUGCCCGACCUGGCAAGUGCAGGGUGAGAAAAUUCACGAAUCCUUUCCUAGGGACACAGGUAUUUCAGCUUGGAUGCAUGGCUUCCAGUCAGCAUCUUGAGCCCUGCUAGCUACUUGGAAGAGGGCAUGCAAGAACAGGAGACCAAACUGGAUGGGACUGGAGGGAAGCAGGUCCCAAGGUGGCAGGAGGGACGGCAGGGUAGCCACUGCAGUACUUGCUGCCUGUAAGAAACCUGCACUGGGCAGGAGGACAGCAAGGGAAGCAUGGAAAACAAAAUAAACUGUGCGCCGGUUAGUGCUCGCCCCUGCUCCAGAGCGUGCCCCACGUAAUUCCAGCUGUGUUACUUGAUGUGUACUGGUGCACGUGACAGCCCAGCUGGACUUGGUGUUCUCUGUGUCUCUGAAGUAAUUGAGGUACUUAGGAAAUGGGUAGUUAAAAAGCCCACAUAUCCCUGAAGUAACCUUAGCUGCAAAAUAAGUCACUUAAUUAGCAUACAGUAGAUACUUAUUGUUAAGUGAGAAUGCCAUCCCCUCCUGCAGGGAUUUGAGUUAAACAUGGUGAUUGAUAAAUUGUUAUAUUCACACAGUGUCACUCAGUGAUAUAAUCAUGGCUUUUGUAAAUAUUUAGUCAAGAGAGCAAUCCAGCUGUUCCCAGCCAGGUUUCAUCCAGUGUCAGCCAACGUUCAGUGCUGCUGAUUUAUUUCAUGUGUUGCUUAAGCCCUGAGUAAGAUCACAUUUUUAUGAGUCUCGAAAUACCUAUGGUAAUAAAUAGUGAGAGUGCCAGAGCUAAUGACAACAGCAGAAAAAAUUAUACAGAAAGAUAUUACCCUGGGCCCAGAAUAUGGCCAAGUACUUAACCAUUUGUAGUUUUUCAGGACAACUACUUAGCAGCUUUUGUCUAGAUUUAUAGCCAGGCAGCCCUCAACAGAUGCCAUUGAAAAUGAAAGCUGAGCAGGAACAAUUUUUCGAAAUGGUUCUAGCAUCUCCCAAAGCUUGACUUAGCUGUUGAAGAGGUCUGAGGUUUAAAGCAGUGUUGGACAAGGAUUGGAAAUGCUGUUUUCCAAAGGAUUUCAAGAUUUUGAAAUUUACCCUAAGUUCAAUUUAGAAUGAAAGCCCCAAAUUUAGAAAUUUCUCCUGACAGAGGAGGACUCCAGGAAGGAUUCACUUCGACUCAACUGUGCUGGUUUUGCUAUGCAAUACAAUACUAGAAAGUAAAGAAAUACAAGUAUGUUUAAAAUGAGAAGUCAUUUUGACAUGAAAUACUGACACUGUUAACUCUGAAGGUGCCGAAACCUGGCACAUUCAUGGUGUUGGAGCUUUCUUGGUCUUUUUUUUGCCUAAAACACAUUUCUGCAAAACUGACAUUUUUGUGAGGCAUUUUGGUUUUAAUGAAUCUAUAUUUUCUGAUAUGUCUUUUCUGACCAUGUUCUCGUUUGAAGAAACACCCAUACAACUUUUCCUCACUCAUCUGUCUCACUUUUAUUCUGGGAACUCUUCAGGAAUAGCUUUUGUUCUCAUGUCAGUUCUUUGUUGAGGAACUGUCUGUUGUGAUGUCCUACACGCAAGACUUGGAAGUUAUUCAUAAAAAAGGAAAGUUUAAAAAGGAUGACACCCAAUUUGGGUUGUAUUGCGUAUUUGAGAUAGCAUGCUUCUCCCACAGGACAAGAUGGUAGAUGCUGAAUUUAACUUAUUCCCAGUAAAAAUCCUCUUCUGUGACCCAUAUAGACACCUCUUACUGACAACAGAGGAACAAAUUAUCUUUGCUGCCAAAGUUUCAUUUGCAGAAAAUUCAGCUUUUUGUUCUCACUUUGCAAUUUAUGUUCUUUCUUGUUCAGAAGCAGGUCAUAAUGACAGGGUGUUCCUAAUUUUCCAGGGAACGUGGACAUUUUGAAAAGAAAUGCAGUAUUAACGGUGGGCUGAGUAUCUGCAAGAAAGUAAGCUUAGAUCAAUACACGCAGUCUUUUGCUAAAUUGGAUCUUAAAGUAUGGGGGAACAACAGACUCCAGGAGUGGAAGUAAAGUCUAGGAGAUGCCUGAAAGCAACUGUAGCUCACUGAGAAUGAGGUAAGGUCGUCCUACAGCACCACAGCCAGAGUGAAGCAGAGACUUUUAUUCAUUGAGUGCAUGGAAACAUCUGAGGCAGAGGAAAAGCUAUUUCAAAUGAGCAUUAGCAUGCCUGUUGGUACUCUCAGGCUGAUAUCAAGGGCGCCCUUGAGCUCCGAGCCAAGUGGAGGUACACCCCUUGAGAACCUGAGGUGACAAAGUGCAGGUGGAAAUGCUGUUCAAAUGUAUAUUUAAUGGACAUGGGGAUAAGCUGUGUUCCAGCCAGCGAAGGUAAAAAAAAAAGAGCACACAAAACCCCUCUAACAACAUCUUAUGGUCGAUAGCACUAAUGGGAAGUAGAACUUAGAAGCCAAUAAAAUUAAUCUAAAGCCAACAAAUUCAACUGCAGAAAUGAGUGGAUGACUAGCAAUUUUUAAGCCAGCUGCCCAGUGUGUCUUUUGUGUUCCCUUUUUGUGCCUGAGAUGUGGGGGUAGUAAAGAAACUGGAGUGUUCUGCUGCAGAAUCCAGCUCAAGUUGUGUGAAUUUGUUUGUUUUUGUCGUCUAGGCCUUCAUUCUGAUUUUCAUGGUAGCUAAAAGGGAGUUAUGCAAAUCAGUACAGAAGCAGAGAUUGCUCUUUGCCAUUUUCUGGCAAUAAUCACCAUUUUCUGACAAUAAUCACUAUUUUCCAACAAUAAUCGCCAUUUUCCAGUAACUGAGAACUAUAGGGACAAUACUUCAAAUUUUCAUUGUCAGCAAAUGCAUUAAAAAUGCUAAUGCUAGUCGCCUUAGCCAUAUUUAUCUGGUUCUUAUGAAGGCUCCUUCAUGCACUUGCAGAAGUUUCCCGGUGUGAACCAGUUCUUGCUUCCACAUAGAAGCUGAGAAUUUGGGGUUUAUUAUUCCCAUCCAGCCAUGAUGUGAAGUCUUCCCACUCACUUGUUUUUUGUGGGCUAAUAUUCACCAAGGUUGGCGUUCGUCUCACCUAACUGUAGUUAUUAAAAAAUUACAUGGUUAUCUAAGUGAGUAGGCUGGGCUGCCUCUGUAGUCGAUGAUGAGACUUGGGUACGAUGAUUCAUUCCAUCCUCCCAGGUAUCACCCUCUGGAGGUGCCCAAGUCUCCACAGGGAGACAGAUGGCUAAGGUUAGGUGAGGUGAACCUCAGCCCCAGUGCUCAGCAAUAACUUCUUGGCGUGUGCCCAGGACACCUGGGGUUCCCUGGGGAAAUCACCCAUCCAAGCGCUAGUCAGAACUUGCACCUUUUAGCAUCCAGAAUUAGAGGAGUGCAUAUGCUUUCUUUCGGUCCAGUGUACUUGUAUGCUUUGUGUGAAAUAGAAAAGACUUUGCCCCACGUUUGACCUACAUACUUACAUACAAAUACCGCCUUAAAUUACAUAUUCAAUAUUUUUUAUACAUCUGCUGUCUGUGUGAACAUGCACAUAUUUUCUGCAUAAUAAUAUUCAGAUAUAUGGUUCUCUAUGAUAUUUUAUUAUUAAAGUGCUGGCAAUAUGCUCAAAGCUUUUAAAAAAUACAGAUAAAGGCAAUUCAUGUCAGAAGGAGGUUGUAACAAAGGUGAACAUUAGAUUCAUAGGGAGUGAGAGACCAGAAGAUUCUGGCUUCACUGUUUGUUUUUCCUGUGUUGCACUGUGGGUGAGGUGAAGUGUGUAGCUGCCCUCUCAGUGGCUUUUGGACUGGUUGGCCAGCUUCAACCAAAUAUAACCAAAGAGCAGGUUGUCUGAAGAGAUAAAGCUCUCUGAAAAAAGGCAGCUAUUUAGAAAAGAUUGUGCCUUCACUGAGGAAAAGGUACAAUGUGAGGCAAUGUUAGGCUCUAAAGGAUCUGCACAGUAAUCCUGUGCAGAAAUCCUACCGUGGGAAGAGCAUCCCCUGUCACUGGUAUUGUGCUGAACCCUAGGGAACUGGGCAAGGACACCCACAGGAAGCAACACAUUGCUGAUUUUGUCAUGCAAGAAACAUAUUUUAUGCUAGUAGUGACCUUUACCUUUGAAUCUUCUUUAAGAAGGGAAGAUUUUAAGAGUUCUCCCCACUAUGGGAACAAAGCUCAUUAACUGGGAGAAGGAGCAGUGGAGGACAGAAACAAGAGGUGAAGCUGAGUGCUGGUAGAAUGAAAGUGUGAAAACAAGGAGGAAUUAAGUAUUCCUACAGGCCCCUGCCAUUUUCCAUGUGCAGAAAUAUCUAUAAUUUCUGUUCAACAUAACCUUAAGAUGAAAAAUAUUUUUCCUUAGGUAUUAUGUUCCUGGUUAGUCUUAAUUGGUGAGUGCAUCUCUCAUGAGCUCUGCUUUGUGGAUUUUUACCUUGUGCUCUGUGAUAGCUCCCAGUAGCUUUGUAGGAAGGAGUAAACCUCUGUCACCUACUUCAACAUGCUUUCAAGAUACAGCUUUAUCAGCUUAUGAGAAGAGCUGCUAGGUACGACAGUCAGGAAAAGCAGAGGAAAGAAUUUGUUGGCCAAAUAUGUCAGUUCCUGUCCUGGGCAUUCUAUGAAUAUAGCUUUAUCAACAUGCUUUAUCAACAACAGGCAGACCCAGGGUACAAAUAGUUUCCAUCUCUGUCUGCUGAUGGUAAGAAUUAGGAUUAUCUUUAUCAGAUCUGGAACAUGCCUCUGAUGCACCUAAUGUCUGUUUUGGUUUUAGUGCCGAUGCAGACUUCUGUACUAGCUUGUGUCUGUUCUGAAGAUAAGAAGAGAGGAGCCAGGUUUCUAAUCUGAGAUUUUCUUACCACAUUUCCUUAGUCUUUUCUUAUUACAUUCUUUUAGCACAGGGACAGGUAGACUUGGGUUGUUGAAUUGGGUGGGUUGAAGCACAUGCUGUUCUUCUACCCCACACAUAGCCUCAGCUGUCCCACGGGGCUCUGGGUCAUCCUAUGCAAUGCAGGUUGCUCAAGACUAUGUGUGCAAGGUGCUCUGUGGAUCUCUUUCCAGUUCAGCUUGUGGCCUUUUAGGCAAGCUGUUUACUCUGUCUUGCUGCUAUUUUGGACUUCGGUCUUCCCAAGAAGCCUUUCCAGGGAAAGCUGAGGGAGAAACACACACCCUGGAAGAUGACAGUCAUGGCAGAUGUUUUCAGUGUGCCUGCCCACAUGCCCUGCAGUAGCCUCUGGACUAGUGGAAGCUUCCUGAUCAGUGGAAGAACUGGUUGGAUUACAGACUGUAGGAAGCAGAAAUGUCUGCAACAUUCUUCUAUGUUUUGUAUUCCCCUCAGACACAUCUUGAGUGAUUUCUCAAGAUUGUAUCAGCCAACAUGCUGCACUUGCAAUUGGUGAGGUGUAUCACUAGUUUUCAUCUUUCUCUGAAAUGUAAGGUACUGGCCACUAGAUUUGAUUUACAAUUAAAUGGUAAAUUCUACAGUAUAUUCCCAGGACCCUGGAAGUGAUAAGUCAUUUGAGCUGUAUUUUUAAUAGAUUGUUAUAAAUCAUUUUUUUAUUGCUGUAAUUGAAUGAGGUGCUUUAGAGAAACAGAAGAUUGUACGUUCCUUGCCCCUAGGAGUUUGCUUGCUAAGUACAUCUUGAGGUACAAAAGGUACUUUGUGUAAUUUUAUGCAGUGCGAGCCCUUGCUACUAAUGACAGUGCUAUAAAUGUGGCCCAUAUCCUGAAACAACUUAAUGUGUGCUUAACAUUGAGGAUUUAGCAUGCCUCCGGAUGAGUAUGGUGAUUCAUGCUGGAGAAUACAAAAGACUGCCUUGUCUGUGGCACCACCUGCCCUUCUGCCAGACACGACUGCCCUGCCGCUAAGUUAACAGAUGCAAGGGUGUGCUGGCUUCAGCCCUGCUGCAGCUCACAGCCCAGCAAAUUAGCUCAGGACCUGUGAACAGCUAUGCUAGGUCAGAUCAAAGGUCUAUCCAGUCCAAUGUCAUCAGGUUUCUGACAGUGACCGGGGAAAGAGCAGAAGGAAUAGGGCAAACACAAAAUGAACCAUUCUCUGGCAUAUUAUCCCAGCUUCUGACAAAGAGCAUUUUAGGGACUUUAUGAGACAAAGUUUUUUUUAAUGGGCUGGUGGACCUAUCUUCCAUGAGUUUAAGCUUAAACUGAAAUCGAUGUAUUUGCAGUGUGGUCGUAUCCAGCCUGGUUAAUUCAAUUCUGUAUUUUCAUCUUCCCUUGAUGCAUCUUCAGAUAAGCAUCUGUGGCUUAAAGCUGUGGUAUAGUGUUUGCUAGAGCAAUUUCAUAGCAGCUGCAUUCCACCACAGAGAUAGGUCCAUUUUGGUGGUAAGCGAUCCUUAGAUUUAAAUAAUCUAUAAUUCUUUGGAGCACUUUUUGGGCUUGUAAAAGGUGUUAUACAAAUCAAUGAAUAAUUUUCACUCACCAUUGUUUGUAAUAUAUUCUUAAUCCUCAACUGAAAAUAAAAAUUCUUUUCCUAUUGAUUUUCUACUUUUAUGUUUUUCCAAAUUGAUUUUUCCUUUUCCUAAUGGAGCAGAAACUAACAUAUCUGGAUUUCAGUUACUUCACCCUUUCUGCUUCAGCAUCGUUUAGGAUAUCAGAAGGAAUAAAACCAGCUCUGAUGACUAGUAUUCAUUCAUUAACUUCAAGGGAGCUGACACUAUUUUAAUCCAUUUUAAGGGAGAGUGUAUCUUUUGGGUUUUUAAAUUUCAUCAGUAGAUUUGUAGGUAGUCUCAAACAGGUAUUAAAGAGACACGUAUAAAUAGAUUAUGACUUGUGAAGAUGAGGUGGGAGAAUUAAGCAGAGUUUAAAGUAGGCCAGUUUGUUGGGUUGCAGAAGCAUGGUUUGAAGCUGUCACUGAAAAUGUGGUCAGGGUUUUGCAGGGUUUUGAGAAUGUGUUUCCAUUUCUGCACACCAUGACCCUUCUACAUUCAUCUGGAACAGCAACAAGCUAAGUAUUCUUAUGGUAUUUUCAUUUCAGCUUUGAUCAGGAAGAAUCACAGUUGUCUUGAAAUACCCCAUUUCUGUCCAAGUAUGAACCUCAACUAGGGGAUUGGUUUUGUAAAGAUGGCAAGCAUUCCUUUCUAUUCAGGAGACUGAACGGGCCUUUGAGCACCACGUGGCUGUGAAACAACCUGAGAACUUCUGAAAUGUUUAGCCUGAAAAAGUUGUGAAAGACUAGAUUAUUCCCUCAAAAGAAAGAGUGUUAUCUGAAAUAAAUAGUGUUAUCAGCUUCUGAAUCAAUGUUCAUUAAGAAGAUCAACUAUGGUUGGAGGCUUAAUACAGUGACUUAAUACAGCCACGGCCAGUGACUACAGGAUAAUAGUUCACACUACUGUUGAGAAAAAUGAGAUUAAAGACCGCUGAGAAAAACUAACUUUUUUUUUAAUUCAUUGGAUCUUACGAAAUUCAGCCCAGGGUAGAGAGAGACAGAGAACUGGCUGAAACAGUCCCAGAAAGUUUAGUGUUUAUCCCCAUAAGUCCUGGAGGACAGGAGAGGUUCUGGAGGACAGAAAAAGGACAGAGAUAAUACCUAUCCAUAACAAGGAGAAAAAACUGAAUCCAGGGAUUUGUAGUCAAGUCAGCCACCUGCCAAUACAUGGAACAACAAUCAAACAAUCGAUCGUAAGUACCUCGAGGAUAAUGAGGAUAUGAGCAUAACAGCCAGCAAGGAUUUGUCAGGAGAAAAUAAUCUGAAACCAAUCUCUUUUCCUUCUGAGGCAAGACAACAGACCUUUCGGGUAGGAAAAAGGCAGCGGGUGUCACGUGUUCUGAUUUUAAUAAGGCUUUUGAUGCUAUUUUACAAGAUAUUGUCAUAAACAACCUGGAAAAAAAACCAGGAUGAGAAAAAACAGUUAUCCUAGGUCAGUGCACAGCUGGAUGACCAGCUAUAGUCAGAGAGCAUUUAUUAAUGAUUAACUGUGAAACUGGAAGGAGGUCUUGAACAGGGUGCUUUCACUAAUGACUGGGCUGGUGGAAAGUAGGGAGUUAUUGAUCAGUUUGCAAGAUGUCUGCGAGCAAGAUGGAGAAGGGGUUCAGAAUGGAAAACAAUUUGGAGAAGUUGGAGGAGUGGACUGGACAGACUGGGGCACCGGCAGCUGCAAGGCUCUCUGCUGAGGCAGGAACACUUAACGGCACUAAUGCAAGGAUAGGAGGUGACUGGCUAAGCGGCUGUCCUGAGGAGGAAUAUCUCGGUCUUGGAGUUGAUCGUCUUAGAAUAAGUUACACAUGAGGUAUGACUCAAUAGAACUGCACGUUUAUGAUGAAAUAGAAACAUGAUCCAUGAGAGAAGAUCGAACAAAUUUGGGUUGCCUAAAAUAAAGAGGAAAGAAGGAUCAUGGUAAGUCUUGCAAGGUGACUGAAAAGAAGAAAGAAAUAAUCUUAUUCUCUUUGUCUGCUGGGAUAAGGGGUAAUGGACUUUAACUGCAGUGAAAGACACAUAGCUUAGAUGCCAGCAAGAUCCUUCUAUGAUAAUGGCAAAAUGGGGAAAUAGGCUGCUUGGAAGCUUACCAAAUGCCCACCACUGGAGGUUAGACAGAUAUCAGUCCAGAGUGAUGCAAGUCUAGAAAUUUAAUUUCUUUGCAUUUUAGUCCAGAUAAGCCUACCUUGUCUAUGAAGAGCUAAGAUUUUCUCUGUUCCUCAGUGUCUUACAGAAUAUUGUUAGCAUUUAGCAUCAGUUAAAAUGGCAGUCUUACGAUUUGCUCUCCACCUUUGCUCAGACUUAUCCAUUAGUCUUGAUCCGGUUAAAUAAAUAUGGUUUAG